CAGUCGCCGCGGGAAUACGGAGGGGGCUAGCGUUGUUCGGAAUUACUGGGCGUAAAGCGCACGUAGGCUGCUUUGUAAGUCAGAGGUGAAAGCCCGGGGCUCAACCCCGGAUGUGCCUUUGAGACUGCAGAGCUUGAAUCGCGGAGAGGUGAGUGGAAUUCCGAGUGUAGAGGUGAAAUUCGUAGAUAUUCGGAAGAACACCAGUGGCGAAGGCGGCUCACUGGACGCGUAUUGACGCUGAGGUGCGAAAGCGUGGGGAGCAAACAGGAUUAGAUACCCGCGUAGUCCCUGUCUCUUAUAC
rnacentral:rRNA from 1 species